GCGGUUGUAGUUUAGUGGUAAAAUAGUUGCCUUCCAAGCAAUUGUCCAGGGUUCGAUUCCCUGCAACCGCA